CCAGAAUCAGUAUGGAGCUCUUGCUCUACCAAUAACACGUAAUACAAUUGGAAUCACCAUAUUACAAGCUCUACAAGGGUGAUAGCUGGCUAUAGUAAUUGGACCUAUGGACCAAAUUGUCCUUCACCAGAUCGUUCAAGGGAGCACAACAGCAGUAGCAGACCUUGCAUGUUCCUUCACACAACCAGAUCGGAGCAACCUACAAAGAAACACAUGAAUUAGAUGGGGAGAUGGAGAAGAAGAUAAGAUAAGUGGAGGAGCAAGUGACAAACCUGAGAUGGCGCUCCUCCUCCUAGAGUAUAUGCUUUAACAAAAAUAUAGAAACUACAUAAGCAUGUUGUGAUACUCCCAUCUUCAGUAUAUGCAUGUUGUGAUACUCCCAUCUGUACAUUCAUGUUUCAGCAAAGGAAUCAUAAGCUGCACACUUUCAGUAGUAUAGAAUUUACAUAGUAUUCAGCGGCAUGCAAAUUCAACUUUAGUGCUUCAAACAAUUUAGUUCUCUAGAUAACAUGUUCUACCAAUUAUUUAAUCUUACCAAAUGGAUGGUCAUCCAGCUUUACUCAUACAUGGGAUCAUAUUUGUAUCUGAUUUGUAUAAUGAGUCUUUGCAUAGGGAUAAGAUAGGGAAGCUAGUGUAAGCAUUAGACUCUAGCAGUAUUGAAACAGUUCCAGGAAAUAAAAAACUGCUGCCGGUUUUCAGAAUAGAUGCUCACAUGAAUCAUUGGUUAAUCUUGAAUGAACCUUCAGCUCAGAGAAGUCCAAAGACAUUGUGCACCACCAUGGCACCAUCGACAUCAACAACUUGUAGCUAUGAUUUCAGAAUAGAUGCUCCAGGUCCUUAUAGCAUAGAUCAUGUCAAUAAAUUUCACAAGGGAGCGUAAUUUUAAAUUUUGACAAACAGUUUAACAAGUUUAUUAAAAUGUUGCAUCACAUGGAUAAAUAGCAUACAGAUAAUGUUGCAUCACAUGGAUAAAUAGCAUACAGAUAAAUAGCAUAUAUAUGGUAUAGCAUACAAAGAAGAUUCUAAUUUCUCACACUUCCAUUAUCUUAUCAGAUAAUAUGUUCCUCGAUUUCUAAAUCAGCAGGUAGUCUUUAAUCAUAAUAAUAUGAUUGCAAAGGAUGGAACAGUGAUUCAUAGAAAAAGAACAGAAAACAUCAAAAAA
rnacentral:lncRNA from 1 species